rnacentral:rRNA from 1 species
UACAGAGGGGGCAAGCGUUGUUCGGAAUCACUGGGCUUAAAGCGUGUGUAGGCGGAGUUCUAAGUACCUUGUGAAAUCCCACGGCUUAACCGUGGAACUGCUUGGUAUACUGGUUCUCUUGGGCCACUUAGGGGCUACCGGAACAAACGGUGGAGCGGUGAAAUGCGUAGAUAUCGUUUGGAACGCCAAUGGUGAAAACAGGUAGCUGGGAGUGUGCCGACGCUGAGACACGAAAGCCAGGGGAGCGAACGGG